rnacentral:misc_RNA from 1 species
GAUGAAGAACGUAGCGAAAUGCGAUAAGUAGUGUGAAUUGCAGAAUUCAGUGAAUCAUCGAAUCUUUGAACGCACAUUGCGCCCCUUGGUAUUCCAUGGGGCAUGCCUGUUCGAGCGUCAUUUGUACCUUCAAGCUUUGCUUGGUGUUGGGUGUUUGUCUCGCCUUUGCGUGCAGACUCGCCUUAAAAUAAUUGGCAGCCGGCGUAUUGAUUUCGGAGCGCAGUACAUCUCGCGCUUUGCACUCAUAACGACAGCGUCCAAAAGUACAUUUUACACUCUUGACCUCGGAUCAGGUAGGGAUACCCGCUGAACUUAAGCAUAUCAAUAAGCGGAGGA